GAUGAACGCUGGCGGCGUGCCUAAUACAUGCAAGUCGAGCGAACAGACGAGGAGCUUGCUCCUCUGACGUUAGCGGCGGACGGGUGAGUAACACGUGGAUAACCUACCUAUAAGACUGGGAUAACUUCGGGAAACCGGAGCUAAUACCGGAUAAUAUAUUGAACCGCAUGGUUCAAUAGUGAAAGACGGUUUUGCUGCCACUUAUAGAUGGAUCCGCGCCGCAUUAGCUAGUUGGUAAGGUAACGGCUUACCAAGGCAACGAUGCGUAGCCGACCUGAGAGGGUGAUCGGCCACACUGGAACUGAGACACGGUCCAGACUCCUACGGGAGGCAGCAGUAGGGAAUCUUCCGCAAUGAGCGAAAGCCGGACGGAGCAACGCCGCGUGAGUGAUGAAGGUCUUCGGAUCUUAAAACUCUGUUAUUAGGGAAGAACAAAUGUGUAAGUAACUAUGCACGUCUUGACGGUACCUAAUCAGAAAGCCACGGCUAACUACGUG
rnacentral:rRNA from 1 species